ACAAAAUCGGGCGCACCGACUGUUUACUAAAAACACAGAUAACUGCUAAGAUUUUAUAUAUUUGUAUAGUUGUCGAAUUUUGCCCAAUGCCAUUAAUAUAAACAAGGUGAGUUAUUUUUACCAAGUGAAAAUCUGGUCAAUGGCGGUCUUAACCAUAAGGAUCCAAAGGUAGCAAAAUUCAUUGUCCGCUAAAUACGGUCCUGCAUGAAUAAAGUAACGAUUGCGCCACUGUGUGUACANGUAU
rnacentral:rRNA from 1 species